GCACCCAUAGUUCAACUGGAUAGAACAAGGGAUUCCUAAUCCCUCGAUAGUGGUUCAAGUCCACUUGGGAGCACCA
rnacentral:tRNA from 1 species